rnacentral:pre_miRNA from 1 species
CGAACCACGCUGGAGAAGCAGGGCACAUGCUUGAUUUAUGUAAGUUUUGAGCUUGUGUCCUACUUCUCCAGCAUGGUUUC